CGCGGCCUAUCAGCUUGUUGGUGGGGUAACGGCCCACCAAGGCUUCGACGGGUAGCUGGUCUGAGAGGACGAUCAGCCACACUGGGACUGAGACACGGCCCAGACUCCUACGGGAGGCAGCAGUGGGGAAUCUUGCACAAUGGGCGAAAGCCUGAUGCAGCAACGCCGCGUGGGGGAUGAAGGCCCUCGGGUUGUAAACCCCUUUCAGCAGGGACGAAACUGACGGUACCUGCAGAAGAAGCCCCGGCCAACUACGUGCCAGCAGCCGCGGUAACACGUAGGGGGCAAGCGUUGUCCGGAUUUAUUGGGCGUAAAGAGCUCGUAGGCUGUUCGAUAAGUCGGGUGUGAAACCUCCAGGCUCAACCUGGAGACGCCACCCGAUACUGUCAUGACUAGAGUCCGGUAGGGGAGCGUGGAAUUCCUGGUGUAGCGGUGAAAUGCGCAGAUAUCAGGAGGAACACCAGCGGCGAAGGCGGCGCUCUGGGCCGGUACUGACGCUGAGGAGCGAAAGCGUGGGUAGCAAACAGGAUUAGAUACCCUGGUAGUCCACGCCGUAAACGUUGGGCACUAGGUGUGGGUCACAACCAACGUGAUCUGUGCCGUAGCUAACGCAUUAAGUGCCCCGCCUGGGGAGUACGG
rnacentral:rRNA from 1 species